AUUUAUUUAUUCCACACAACAUUAUUAACUUUUGUAGCAUUCAUGAAACUGCCAGCCUCCUAAAAAUUCUCUAAAUUUCCUCAGCAACACCCAUUGAAGGGAUUAGGUAGCUCCACUCAUGAGACCACAGCCUAAUUUGUUGCAUCAAUUAAACUGCGCUAGCUGCAUUUUCUGCGGCUACGGGUAUUUUCAGCCUCAACUGUUGAGGGAAUGGCCAGGGCAAUACCCAUUUUGCAGAACGUCUGUUGUGGAAACUCAUUGUGGGGUGUCCAGAAAAAUUCUUCCGAACAAGGUGGGAGGCUCUAUGAAGGAUUCGUUAUGAAACGUCUCACUUCCUCCUAUAAAAUUAAAUGUUCCGUAAAAGGGGAGGUAUAUUCUCUCAUAGCUUGGAUAAGUUAUGUUUUGUAACAUUUAACAUCAUCAAGUAAUUUCAAUGGUUAUUAUACCUACCAACAAGAAAGAAUAGAAGAGGGUCUAUUCCUCUUAAUUUUGAAAUUAUUAAUCCAAAUUUGUUUUAAAAGUUGCUCCAUUUUGGUCUAUGUUUUUGUAGAUACAUUUCUAUCCAGUCUGUCUCACACUUCUUAACCCGAAAGCACAACUGAUGGUACUACACCACUAAAAAUGAACUUUUUUAUUUUCUUAAUUCGGCUAAUCAUUCUUAUACU